GGCUAAACGCUCUGGUGGCCUACUGGUUAGAGCGUACGCCUCGGAAACGGGAGGUCGUGGGUUCGAUCCCCGAUCGAGUCA